GAUUUUUAAUUCCGAUGUUCUGAUUGUUGUUUUUGACUUUUGAUGUUCUAGAAAGCACACGGAUGCAUCUGUACUUCCCCCUCCCUGGCCCAUGGUGUUUGAAAUCCCUACCAUUCGCCCUCCAUUCUCAAGAUCUAUGUGGACAUGCCAGAUUACAGACAGAAGUUAAGGAUUUAAGAUUAGAUGGCUUAAUCAAAGAAUGCUUGUCUAAGAAAGUUCUAGGGAUAACUAACCAAACCAACCUAAUGAAUUUCUGAUUUCCAUUGGCAUCCUGUCUCUUUCUGCCCUUCAUGUUUUGUUUGGGGGUUUUUCUGUUGCUGUUGUUAUUGUUUCCUUUAUAGAAUGAGACCACCUUCCAUCUCUGUAUAUUCAAAUCCCACCAGUUUCGAACUCCACUGUUAAGUGCUGGCUUGUCCUUGAAACCAUCCCGCUAGCCUCAGCUGGAAAAAGCAGCCUCCUCCUCAGUGAUGGAGCCCUAACCUAAGCAGGAAAAAGCAGCCCCUCCCAAGUGGUGGACUGCCCACCUCGGUGUGUUCUCCCCACGCUCAGUCUUGCCAGCAGACACGCUCCGCUGCAGGCUGUUUCCCUGCAGGACGCCUGAUGGGUUUAUCUUUUGUGUUCUCCACAGCUGUUGCUUAUUGUGGCUUAGCCUUCUGCAUCUGAGAAGUAGGCACGGUUAGUGUUUGAAAAGAACCAGGGCAGAAAUUACAGGCCAAAGAAAUGGCUAAAGUGGUUCUCAAAGUGUGGUCCCUGGACCACACUGUCAGCCUCACCUGGGAACUUAGCAGAAGUGCAAAUACUCGGGACCUUCAGACUCAGAAACUCUGGGGGAGGAACCCAGGAAAACGUGUCUGUACAAGCUCUCUAGAUGCUGCUGCACUAAGAGUUUGAGAAGUUUGAGAACCACGGGACUAGAGGAGGGUCUUCAACUACUGACUGAGGAGUGAACGACCCUGGUUUUCUAAGAGCAGGAUGGAAGACCAGGUGGCAAUCAAGGUGAGAACACUGGAGUUCAGACUGGCUGGAAACUGUGCUAAAGUCGGGAUCUGGUUCCAAAUCCUGCCUCUGAGCCUGGGCUUGAUUCCUCAGCUCCACUCUGCGUCCUGCACCUCCCUCCAGAUUAGGACACUCGACGGCAUCCUCCUCCCACAGGCUGAUAGCUGCAUAGUAAGAAGAAAAGAGAGGAAGACCAGAAGAAAUCCAGAGAAGAAUUGCCAUGAGCCCUGUUCCAAGAAAGAACAUAGAAAAAUCCAGAAGUAUCGCUGUGUAACCACUUUGCCGCUUUGCAAAAGUAUUUUAAUGCACUGUACCUGGAAACUGACAGCUUAGAUGGAAACCUUUUACGAGACUCACAGCUAAAAUUAGCAGCUUCAAGUGGGUGACUUUGAAAGGGACACAACUGCAAAUACUCACUCCCUACUGAGCGUUAUAAUCCUCAAAAGCGAAUUGUUUUAACACAGCACAGCGUGUGUGUCGCUAUGUUUGGGUGGAAUGUAACUUCUCACAAGAUGAAAAAUCAUCAUCUAAAUUAUUAGGUAUCAAGGGUACUGUUGAUGUGCUCUGUUUAUUUCACUUGUACCUUCAUUUGAGAAGAAAGAUACUGAAAACUCAGAGACUUUAAAAUAAUGACUGUCUCUUGGGGAACACGUUUCCAUUAAAUGCAACAGAAUGUAGAAAUCACCACGUAUUUGUGAAUGUGGAUAUCCACUGGUUUUAUUUAAAGCCUGAUCCUCUUCACAGCAGAAAGUCAUUUCCAGAUAAGAGGAGAUAAUGUUAAGGUGACAGUGAAGAGAAAAAGAGGUUGUGAUGAUAAAAAAGUAAAAGUAUCACACAUAGCAUGACAGGAUAAACCCAACAGAGUAGACAAAUGUGAUGUGAUCUUGAAAGAAGAGUUGCCUGGGAAUUCUUAAAUGGAAAAGUUGACAUUAUGAAAUUUAAUUUUGGUCUUCACAAACAAUUUGAAAGACAAGCUCCCUCAACUCCUACCAUCCACCCCCUAGCAAAAUAAAUUUAAGGAGCAGAGAAUUUAAAUAUAUAUA
rnacentral:lncRNA from 1 species